AUCAGUCCGGGCUAUCCUGAAGAUCCGCAGGACUUGUCGUAAAAAAAUCCAUGAGAGAAUUACAUCUGUCUUUGCUUUAUUGACUGCGCUAAAAAAGGUGGAAACUGAUCAAAACUGCAUCCAAGAACAGAUGAAGGCUUCUGAAAAGCUUGGCAAAGUAUUAAAUGAGGCAGAUAUCCGCUUAUUAGUUGCAAGCAUGGAACAGAAAAAUGGUGCUGAAGUGGCUGAAAAGUCAGUCAAACUGGAGGAGAAACUUUUGAUUAAGCAGUUGGAGAGAAACAAACGAG
rnacentral:misc_RNA from 1 species